rnacentral:rRNA from 1 species
UACGGAGGGUGCGAGCGUUGUCCGGAAUCACUGGGCGUAAAGGGCGCGUAGGCGGCCUGAUAAGUAGGGGGUGAAAUCCUGCGGCUUAACCGCAGGGCUGCCUUCUAGACUGUCAGGCUAGAGCACAGUAGAGGCAGGUGGAAUUCCCGGUGUAGCGGUGGAAUGCGUAGAGAUCGGGAAGAACAUCAGUGGCGAAGGCGGCCUGCUGGGCUGUUGCUGACGCUGAGGCGCGACAGCGUGGGGGAGCAAACAGG